rnacentral:rRNA from 1 species
UGCCAGACUCCUACGGGAGGCAGCAGUGGGGAAUAUUGCACAAUGGGGGAAACCCUGAUGCAGCGACGCCGCGUGAGUGAAGAAGUAUCUCGGUACGUAAAGCUCUAUCAGCAGGGAAGAAAAUGACGGUACCUGAUUAAGAAGCCCCGGCUAACUACGUGCCAGCAGCCGCGGUAAUACGUAGGGGGCAAGCGUUAUCCGGAUUUACUGGGUGUAAAGGGAGCGUAGACGGCAGCGCAAGUCUGGAGUGAAAUGCCGGGGCCCAACCCCGGAACUGCUUUGGAAACUGUGCAGCUCGAGUGCAGGAGGGGCAGGCGGAAUUCCUGGUGUAGCGGUGAAAUGCGUAGAUAUCAGGAGGAACACCGGUGGCGAAGGCGGCCUGCUGGACUGCGACUGACGUUGAGGCCCGAAAGCGUGGGGAGCAAACAGGAUUAGAUCCCCCCGUA